GGGCCCGCACAAGCGGUGGAGCAUGUGGUUUAAUUCGAUGAUACGCGAGGAACCUUACCAGGACUUAAAUGUAAGUUGCAUGAUUCAGAAAUGAAUCUUUCUUCGGACUACUUACAAGGUGCUGCAUGGUUGUCGUCAGCUCGUGCCGUGAGGUGUCAGGUUAAGUCCUAUAACGAGCGCAACCCCUGUCGUUAGUUACCAGCAAGUAAUGUUGGGUACUCUAGCGAGACUGCCGGUGCAAAUCGUGAGGAAGGUGGGGAUGACGUCAAAUCAUCACGGCCCUUACAUCCUGGCCACACACGUGCUACAAUGGUGGGGACAACAGGUUGCCAACCCGCGAGGGUGAG
rnacentral:rRNA from 1 species